rnacentral:ncRNA from 1 species
ACGCCAGGGGAGCUUUUGCUGAGACAAAGCGCUUUUAUCGCUUUAGACCCUCAUUACCUGAACCGGAUAAUACCGGCGUAGGGAGGCGGC